rnacentral:ncRNA from 1 species
CGCCGAAUACCUAAGGUUUCCUGGGGAAGGCAAUUCCGCCCAGGGUUAGCCGGUGCCUUAGUCGAGGCCGAAAGGCGUAGACGAUGGAUAGCAGGUUAAUAUUCCUGCGCUAGAACGUUGGACCGAUGGAGGGACGGCGUCCGAAAGGUGAUCGGGCUGGUGGAACAGCCCGUGAUUUGCAGCAAGAUGGGGAGAUUGGAAAAUCCGCUCCCGGAAUUCAAGCUGUCGAUCUGACUCAAAUUGAGGUAAUCAUCGGUAGGACGUCCAAGAAAAGCUUCUAAGGGAUGAAGGCGUUUUAACCGUACUAAAACUGACACAGGUAGGUAGGUCGAGUAGACCAAGGCGCUCGGGAGAACAGUGGUUAAGGAACUCUGCAAAAUGACCCCGUAAGUUCGCGAUAAGGGGUGCCCCUGACGGUGCAAGCUGUUGGGGGCCACAGAAAAUCGGCUCUGGCGACUGUUUAUCAAAAACACAGGACCCUGCUAACUCGCAAGAGGAUGUAUAGGGUCUGACGCCUGCCCGGUGCCGGUAGGUUAAGGAAGAGGGUGCAAGCUCGCGACCGAAGCCCCGGUAAACGGCGGCCGUAACUAUGACGGUCCUAAGGUAGCGAAGUUCCUUGUCGGGUAAGUUCCGACCUGCAUGAAAGGCGUAACGACUGGAGCACUGUCUCAACCACUGACCCGGUGAAAUUGUAGUUGUGGUGAAGAUGCCACAUACCCGCAGUUAGACGGAAAGACCCCGUGAACCUUUACUGUAGGCUGAUAUUGGUCUGAGAUAUGUUCUGUGUAGGAUAGGUGGGAGGCUUUGAUCUCGGCGCGCCAGCGUCGGAGGAGCCGUCCUUGAAAUACCACCCUGAAUAUGUUUUAGCUCUAACCCUGAAUAUCCGUGAAUCCGGACAGGGAACAGUGUCAGUUGGGCAGUUUGACUGGGGCGGUCUCCUCCCAAAGAGUAACGGAGGAGUGCAAUGGUACCCUCAGCCUGGUUGGCCAUCAGGCAAAGAGCGCAAUGGUAAAAGGGUGCUUGACUGCGAGACUUAUCGGUCGAGCAGGUACGAAAGUAGGUCAUAGUGAUCCGGUAGUCCCGUAUGGAAGGGCUAUCGCUCAUCAGAUAAAAGGUACUCCGGGGAUAACAGGCUUAUCGCAUCCGAGCGUCCAUAGCGGCGAUGCGGUUUGGCACCUCGAUGUCGGCUCAUCACAUCCUGGGGGUGAAGAAGCUCCCAAGGGUUCGGCUGUUCGCCGAUUAAAGUGGUACGUGAGCUGGGUUCAGACCGUCGUGAGACAGGUCGGUCCCUAUCUGCUGUGGGCGUACGAAUUUUGAGGAGGUUCUUCUUUAGUACGAGAGGAUUUGGAAGGACGACCCUCUGGUGUCCCAGUUGUCAUGCCAGUGGCACGGCUGGAUAGCUAUGGUCGGAAAGGAUAAACGCUGAAAGCAUCUAAGCGUGAAGCCCGCUCCAAGAUUAGAAUUCGUAAGCACUUUAGUGCGAGAGUCCCCUGGAAGACGACCAGGUUGAUAGGCUGGAUGUGUAAGCACAGUAAUGUGUUCAGCUAACCAGUACUAACGGAC